GUUGGCACAGUGAUUAUACUUUGGGUCUUGCUAAGGGCUCCAUAAAUCAUCCCUGUCUGCUACAAAUACUUCAGUGCCAUUGGAUUUACUAUAUUACAAGCCCAAGGAACAGAGGAGCUUGUAUGUAGCCUGGAUCUGCUGCAGGGCAUUGGUUUGAUUUGAACCUCGUUUAAACUGGUAUCCCAACAGAUACCGAGAAUCUGCAGAGCACCCAAAUGGGUAAACAUCGCCUCAAAAAUGAAAAAGGAACAAUAUGAUGCCAAGCACUGAGGACAGCUGGCAAUGGAUUUGGGAAUGUAGUUUGCAGGCUUCCAGUCUCAGCAGUUCAGAGCCGAGAAGAAAUAAGUGAAAGAGGCCUGCAGUGAAAGGAAAAAAUAUCUGACGAAUAGGUUCUUUGUGGCACAUACUACUUGUUGGUGAACACAGCUGUCUCUCCCCACAAAGGAACAUUUGUGAUGAUAUUACUGUUGACUAUACCAUCAAAUUCCCAUAAGGAAGUAAAAGUUUGGAUCAAGAACAUUUCAACACAAUGAAAAGUUUCUUCAUAUAAAAAAUGGAUUCAGUAGAUAAUCUCAACUACUUUCUUCAUAUUUUAAAAUGUUAUGGCUCUGGACUCAUUGAAAAUGAACUUUUAUAUACCUUUUGUGAAAUGAGAAGUGAUGCACCAUCUCAAGAUUCGUGCUCUGAUUUAAAAGAAGCUACAGAGAAGCUACACUGUAUCACAGGAUGGUCCUACUGCUUGUGAAAGCAGGUUUGGAUUUGUAAGCUUGCAAGGCUAGAUCUGCAAUAAAGUGGCGACUUCAAAAUGGCCGUGGAAAGUAUGAAAAUGGGAAAUUAAUGAUUUUACAUUCAGAAACUUUGCUUAUAAUUGAAUCAUGUUAUGUGACAGGCUCUGGAGACACGCAGCUCCCUGAUGGCAGGAAUUCCUUGAAAUAUUUAACAAUGUUUAACUGCAGUGAUGGACUAUUUUAUAGUGCUUAUAGCAUGUCAAUCCAGCUUUUCACUUGCAUCCGCAGUGACAAGCAAGUUCACACAAGGGAAGAGAAAUAGACUAUGAACAUUUAUUUUCCAUAUUUACUACAGUUAUUAACCACUUUGGUCGCUUGCUAUGAGAAAACACCUUGGAAUAAAAAGCUGUGUCCUAAACUAAUGUUCAAGAUAUGUCUAUCUUUUCACUUCUCUUUGAUUUACUCAGAAAAUCAGUGUAAAAAAAACAGUUAACUUAGCCAUAUAUUUUUAAGAAAAAAAUUCAAUUUUAUCACCACUUUGAGCAACCUAAAGCAAUGAAGUAGCAGAGGAAAGAAAUUUGAGGUGAAAAGAGCAAUGGAUUAAAUACUUCAUUCAUUUAUGGAGUGCUUGCUGCAUAAUUACAGAAGUAGGUAUUUCAACUUAUGAAAAGUACAAAGAAAGAAAAGUACUUCAUUAUAAAGCAAUCAAAAAGCUGUC
rnacentral:lncRNA from 1 species